UGCUCAGAGAAAUGACAUCAUUGGGGCGUUAAUGGUGGCCUGUCAUUCGCAGGAAAGAAUGGUCGGCGUGGCAGUUGAUUUGUGUCCUCUGACAACCUUUCAGAGACCUAAUGGACCUGGGCCUGGCUUGCUUGGAGCUUGCAGUCGUAUAAUUAGCAUCUGUGGUGCAUGCUUCCCUGAUUGCUUUCUCAUCUCUGGAAGAUUGAAAUGAUUAACUACUUACCCCUAUAAUAUUGCUGUUCAGUGCUCAUCAUUAUGAAACAUGUUUGGAUUUAGAAACUGGAACACCAGAUCAGAGCUUCAGUUCAGACAAGAGCAGAGGAUCCGAGAGCUCAAUGAUUGGGAGCUCGAGGAGGGGCAUGGGAUAGGACUGGAGCAAUCAACGAUCAAGAGAUGACUACACUUUGAGCUGCCUCUACCUUGACUGGCCUGGGAGCUAAGCUAAGCUAGCUGGAGGCGAUCGAUCUUGCCGGCAUCCCAGGAGCUAACCACUGCCUGUGGGUGUGGCUGUGGCUGUACCUGCCGGCCUUGCCAUCUUGUCCCUCCCUGCUCCGGCAACGCUCCUGACCCUCCAUUGACGACGGUGGAUCGUACGUGCUGCAUGCCUGUGAUGAUGAUUGGGUUUUCUCCUGCAUUUCCCUGAAGCCUUCACUUCAGUUGAGACCAUCUGGGGCUCGAGGCUAGCUAAGCUGGACGUACACCGUCAACUCUUCGUCGCAACGGAUCGAUGGAUCGUCGGUCGGAGGCAUCGACGACGGGGUAUCCUGUAGCGGCGCACAUGACCGGUGGCAGGAGCUCUGUCCGCCGGUCGGCUCGACGAGACGGCUGCAGUGCAGUGCCCGGCCAGGGCAUGCACGCUACCUGUUGGCUGUUUUGUUUACCUCUGGCUUCACGUUCAGGCUUGAGAGCUGGUCGUUUAAUCUUUUUGCUUGCUGGUGAUGCUUCAGGCCAAGACGAGGGGAGGACGUCGAAGCUGGAGGAAUCUACCAGUUCUGCUUGGAUCUUAUGUCCUUGGCUUCUUCCAUCUCUCUGGAUCGACGACUGACUGCACUGUCGCAGGUAUAUGAGUGGCAACCAUGGUAAAGUCCAAGAUGCAGCUGUUUUCUAUGGAGCCUAGGGAGCCGAGAGAGUGAUCAGGGCAGGCACAUACACGUUUGGUAGUGUCAAAGAUAGAUCUAGACCUGGCCACAAAUGCAGUGGGCCACAUGUGGAGAUGGAGAAAGGUCAUGUGAUGUACUCAUAAAAUGUCUACUACAAACAUAUCAUUCAAGCAACUUGUCAUAUAUGGAACAGAAUCUUCCAUAAUAUUCAAACUCCCCACCCAAUCCACACUGCACAUUGAUGAAGCAAAAGAUUUUUUGCGCACAUGGGCAGCCCUGGGAAAAGGAUGGGUCUUGAGUCUAGUUUGACUGAGCCAAAUUAUGCUACUACUGCUGCUUUAUUGCUAGGAGCAUGGAGGGCAAAUGCUUAUAUGCUGCAUCAAAGAAGAUGGAGAGAGGUGAAGGACCUAAAUCCUUACACAAGUUUCAAGUGCAUUUGAACUUGAAGUACUUUUGGUCCUAGCCACUGCAUCUGCAAGCUGACUAGUGACUAUUGCUACUAGUAUCACUGUGCAAGUUCAUCAGUAUUCAGUACUAGUACUAGUACAUGAUGCUGGCUGCACACUUACUGGGACCAAAGAGGGAGGGAAAAAAAAACUUUGUUUUGUUUCUUUCAAUGCUGGAUGAAAAGUUGGGGGGAAUGUUUGUUUUCUUGCACAUUGAUAUGAUAUUAAUGGAAGCAGCAGCCUUGCAUCACACCCAUGCAGCAGGCCAAUGGUGGCAGAGGAAAGGGCAAUAGAAAAUGAUGUUGCAUCAAAAGUGGAUCCCUAGCUAGCAGUGGGCUGCAUGGUUGCACUCACCGGUCACCACCAGGUAAGUAUUUCCACCUUCCUAGAAUAAAACUAUUUCGCUUCUUUAAAUCUUAUUUCAAAGUAUAGCUACUCCAUCCGAUUCCAAAACGACUUUAUUCUUAUCAUCUUGCACAUAUUAAUUCCAAAUAAUAAACUAAAGUGUCCUAUACUUUGACAAACUCUAUUGUAUAUGUCUCCUAUUUUUAUCAACCGCUACCUCCAUCCCUAGGAGACUCCAUUGUUAGUUUUGUCUGCCCCAUAAAUGUUUUAUUUUAAAGUAAUUAUUGUAUUAAAGUUUAGUAAAGUAGGAAAUAAGUGCAUUGAGAUUUAAAAAGGUAGAAGACAAAUAUAUUGAGGUUUGAAAAAGUGAAGAACAUUUUAGCUUUUUAUAAUUUCGUAUAGGUAUACUUGAGUUUUGCAAAAAAAAAGUAUUUUUUAGACGAAGCAAGUACAUGCAUUUGUCAUCUACCCAUACUUCUGUAAACUUCAAGGGUAUUUAUUGGUUCAAAGAUAAAAUCUUUGUGGGGCAAUGCACUAGAUAACAUAUGAAGUUGUUUUGGUACGGAGUGGGUACUUAACCUAUCAUAUAUCUCAAUGCACAAUCAUCUUUUAUUUAUUUUUUGCGAUUAUUUCUUUAUCUCAACUCAUUAUACCAAUCAUCUAUUUAAUUUUUUUUAACUCGUUAAUUAUUUAUUUUGGGAGCGAAUGGAGUAGAGCCAAGUGUAUUUACUCUGAUCUCUACCUCUCUCACUCUCUGCUCCAUGGAAGUCACGGGCCUGCCUUGAAACUUGCAAGUCACCAGCAGCAGGAGGCGGUAGGGGCAAGGCAGGCAGGCACAAAAGUAUCUUUGGUUGUUUACAACUAGACAUGUGUACAUGGAUGUGUGCAUGCACUGGCCUGCAUGCUACUUCCACCAGCUACUACUCCCUACUUCACCCAGCAGCAGCAGCAGCAGCAGCAGCAGCAGCUAGUGAGAGGAAGGAGAACAAUUUGGUCACUAAAUACCAUGAGGAUACCGGCCGUGCAGCUAGCACAAUUACAUGUGCAUGAGCAACUCUCUCUCUCUCUCUCUGCGUGCAGUGAGUGCACUGCAUGCAUGCAUCAGCUGCACGGCCGGAUCGGAUAGGCUUCUUCUCUCUUCCCUUCUCUUGCAUGUGUACCUGACCGGUCCAUAC